ensembl:lncRNA
CCCCCUCAUUGCUGCGGAUCCGGACCCACAUCGACCCCCCCCCGGGGCAGCACCCACAGCCCCCAUCUCGGAGCCACGGUGGCGCCCCGGGGACACCGCGACCCACCGCGACCCACUGCGUCCCGUCCGCCCUGGGCGGCCCCGUCACAACUUGGGGGUCAGCCAAGACAAACAGGCAGAGCAAGGACGGGUGGGGGGACGGACAGCACACGUGGGGGGGGCGGAGGUCCCGGGAUCACUCUUGUGGGGUUUGGGGUUGAUCCCGAGUGUGGGAUCCAUGGGUUUGGCCAUUGGGGGUCCCAACACGCCAUGGGUUUGGGAUUCAUCUGUGGGGUCAAUGGGGAUCCCAAUGCACCGCAGGUUUGGGAUCCAUCAGUUUGGAUAUUGGGGAUCCCAACACACUACGGGUUCGGGAUUCAUCUGUGGGGUCAUUGGGGAACCCAACACACCACGGGUUUGGGAUCCAUUGGUUUGACCAUUGGGGACCCCAAUGCACCACGGGUUUGGGAUCCAUCCAGUGGGACAUAGGGGACCCCAACACAUCACGGGUUUGGGAUCCAUCUGUGGGGUCAUAGGGGAUCCCAAUGCACCGCCGGUUUGGGAUCCAUGGAUUUGACCAUUGGGCCAAUGCACCACGGGCUCAGGAUCCAUCUGUGGGGUCACUGGGGAUCCCAAUACACUAUGGGUUUGGGAUCCAUUGGUUUGACCACUGGGGAUCCCAAUGCACCACGGGGUCGGGAUCCAUCUGUGGGGUCAUAGGGGAUCCCAAUGCACCAUGGGUUUGGGAUCCAUCUGCUGGGUUAUAGGGGACCCCAAUUCACGACGGGUUCAGGAUCCAUCUGUGGGGUCAUUGGGGAUCCCAACACACCAUGGGUUUGGGAUCCAUGGGUUUGACCACUGGGGAUCCCAAUGCACUGCAGGUUUGGGAUCCAUCUGUUGGGUCAUAGGGGACCCCAAAACACCACGAGUUUGGGAUCCAUCCAGUGGGACAUAGGGGAUCCCAAUACACUACGGGUUUGGGAUCCAUCUGUGGGGUCACUGGGGAUCCUAAAGCACCACAGGUUUGGGAUCCAUCUGUUGGGUCACUGGGGACCUCAACACACCACGGGUUUGGGAUCCAUCCAGUGGGACAUAGGGGACCCCAAAACACCACGGGUUUGGGAUCAACCCAUUAGCUCACUGGGGAUCCCAACACACCAUGGGUUUGGGAUUCAUCUGUGGGGUCAUUGGGGAUCCCAAUACACUACGGGUUCGGGAUCCAUCUGUGGGGACACUGGGGACUCCAAUGCACCACGGGUUUAGGAUCCAUCCAUUGGGACAUGGGGACCCCAAAACACCACGGGUUUGGGAUCCAUUGGUUUGACCAUUGGGGAUCCCAAUGCACCACGGGUUUGGGAUCCAUCCAGUGGGACAUAGGGGAUCCCAAUACACUACGGGUUUGGGAUCCAUCUGUGGGGUCACUGGGGAUCCUAAAGCACCACAGGUUUGGGAUCCAUCCAUUUGGACAUUGGGGAUCCCAAUGCACCAUGGGUGUGGGAUUCAUCUGUGGGGUCAUAGGGGACCCCAAAACACCACGGGUUUGGGAUCCAUCAGCUUGGCCAUUGGGGAUCCCAAUGCACCACGGGUUUGGGAUCCAUCCAGUGGGACAUAGGGGACCCCAAAACACCACGGGUUUGGGAUCCAUCUGUGGGGGCACUGGGGAUCCCAAUGCACCACGGGUUUAGGAUCCAUCUGCUGGGUUAUAGGGGACCCCAACACACCAUGGGUUUGGGAUCCACCCAGUGGGACAUAGGGGACCCCAACGCACCAUGGGGUCGGGAUCCAUCUGUGGGGUCAUUGGGGAUCCCAAUGCACCACGGGUUUGGGAUCCAUCUGCUGGGUUAUAGGGGACCCCAAUUCACGACAGGUUUGGGAUUCAUCUGUGGGGUCAUUGGGGAUCCCAAUGCACAGUGAAUUUGGGGUCCACCCCUUUGGUCUUUGGGGUUCCCAACCACACAUGAGUUUGGGGUCCGGCCCUUAGGAACCACAGAGCACCCCAAGUUGGGCUCCCAUUGCUUUGGCCAUUGGGGAUGCCAACCCCACAUCAUUUUGGGGUCCGGCCCUUCGGAACCACAGAGCACCCCAAGUUGGGGUCCCCUUGCUUUGGCCAUUGGGGAUCCCAAAUGCACCCCGACAUUACAAAUCCCAAUGCAGUGUGGAUCCAUCCAUGGGGUUAAUGGGGAUCCCAACACACCCCAAGUUUGGGAUCGGGCCAUGAUGGACCCCGGGACACCCCAAAUUGGGGUCCCAUUGCUUUGGCCAUUGGGGAUCCCAACCCCACAUGACUUUGGGGUCCACCCCUUUGGCCAUUGGGGUUCCCAACCCCACAUCAUUUUGGGGUCCAGACCUUAGGAACCACACAGCACCCCAAGUUGGGUUCCCAUUGCUUUGGCCAUUGGGGAUCCCAAUGCACAGUGAAUUUGGGGUCCACCCCUUUGGAACCACAGAGCACCCCAAGUUGGGGUCCCACUGCUUUGGCCAUUGGGGAUCCCAACCCCACAUCAUUUUGGGGUCCGGCCCUUCGGAACCACAGAGCACCCAAAGUUGGGGUCCCCUUGCUUUGGCCAUUGGGGACCCCCACACCCUGUGAGUUUGGGAUCCACCCCUUCGGUCUUUGGGGUUCCCAACCCCACAUGAGUUUGGGGUCCGGCCCUUCGGAACCACAGAGCACCCCAAGUUGGGGUCCCAUUGCUUUGGUCUAUGGGGAUCCCAACCCCACAUGAGUUUGGGGUCCGGCCCUUUGGAAGCACACAGCACCCCAAGUUGGGCUCCCAUUGCUUUGGCCAUUGGGGAUCCCAAAUGCACAUGAAUUUGGGGUCCGGCCCUUAGGAACCACAGAGCACCCCAAGUUGGGCUCCCAUUGCUUUGGCCAUUGGGGAUCCCAACCCCACAUCAUUUUGGGGUCCACCCCUUUGAUCUAUGGGGCUCCCACCCCACAUGAUUUUGGGGUCCGUCCAUGACGGCUCCCGGGACACCCCAACUUUGCCUCCCAUCGCUUUGCCCAUUUGGGGUCCCCCCCUCCCUCCGCUCUUCGGCACCGCACCGCACCGCACCGCCCCACCCGCGGG